CCUACGGGGGGCUGCAGUGGGGAAUAUUGGACAAUGGGGGCAACCCUGAUCCAGCCAUGCCGCGUGUGUGAAGAAGGCCCUCGGGUUGUAAAGCACUUUCAGUGAGGAAGAACGCCUGGUGGUUAAUACCCAUCAGGAAAGACAUCACUCACAGAAGAAGCACCGGCUAACUCCGUGCCAGCAGCCGCGGUAAUACGGAGGGUGCGAGCGUUAAUCGGAAUUACUGGGCGUAAAGCGCGCGUAGGUGGCUUGAUAAGCCGGUUGUGAAAGUCCCGGGCUCAACCUGGGAACGGCAUCCGGAACUGUCAAGCUAGAGUGCAGGAGAGGAAGGUAGAAUUCCCGGUGUAGCGGUGAAAUGCGUAGAGAUCGGGAGGAAUACCAGUGGCGAAGGCGGCCUUCUGGACUGACACUGACACUGAGGUGCGAAAGCGUGGGUAGCAAACAGGAUUAGAUACCCUUGUAGUC
rnacentral:rRNA from 1 species